CAGUCGCCGCGGUAAUACGUAGGUGGCAAGCGUUGUCCGGAUUUAUUGGGCGUAAAGCGAGCGCAGGCGGUCAAUUAAGUCUGAUGUGAAAGCCCCCGGCUCAACCGGGGAGGGUCAUUGGAAACUGGUUGACUUGAGUGCAGAAGAGGAGAGUGGAAUUCCAUGUGUAGCGGUGAAAUGCGUAGAUAUAUGGAGGAACACCAGUGGCGAAGGCGACUCUCUGGUCUGUAACUGACGCUGAGGCUCGAAAGCGUGGGUAGCAAACAGGAUUAGAUACCCCUGUAGUCCCUGUCUCUUAUAC
rnacentral:rRNA from 1 species